ACUAUCAGUGUGACAGAUUUGCAACAUAUGUAAUUUUUCGGCUGAGUGCUUGGAUAAUAAGUGCUUAUGGAAUUGUGCGUCCAUAUGGCAUUUAUUGUCAGAUUGUAUUUGAUCCAAAUGAGUUUUGCUAACUUAGGAGGAAAUACACCAGAUGUUGACUAUAUAUACAGAGUUCCACAUAGUAAGAUUUAUUUACCCAUAAAAGCAAACUGCAAUAAAACUUGUAACCACUCCUCUAACUCUCUUCUCUCCUCUCUUUGUCUGAGCAUCUUCAAAAACACACCACUGCCUUCAAAUAUGAUGAUGUAAUCCACUGCCAGCCUGUUGUCCCCUGACCCGACCACAGAUGGCAGUAUUGCACCUUGGAAGGGGCCCUUAAACCCAGUCAACCCACUUCCCCACAAACAACUCAUCCACAAACAAACAGUGAUGUCCAGAGCUCUGCUGGAGCUGUGGGGAAGUUCAUGAAUGUUAUAGUUGAUGUUUCAGAAAAAAGGAGGAUGUUUGAGAACCAACAAAACACAGACCACAGAUGAACAAAGGUGAUUUGGCACUAGGAGACUUUAUACCAGAUGCCCUACCUGUUACUGCAUUUAGAGGAAGAAAAACAGCACAUGG